GGUGAUACUGAUAGCACAUUGAAUGCUCGAGUUCCCAAGGGAACACUGAAGUUAAGUUACGUUGCACGUGGUUAGUAUCCGGAUGGGUGACCACCUGGGCAAUCGUGUGUUGCUGACU
rfam:Asian citrus Psyllid, Diaphorina citri - Florida Strain, whole genome shotgun sequence.